rnacentral:rRNA from 1 species
AUUGAACGCUGGCGGCAGGCCUAACACAUGCAAGUCGAACGGUAGCACAGAGAGCUUGCUCUCGGGUGACGAGUGGCGGACGGGUGAGUAACGUCUGGGAAACUGCCCGAUGGAGGGGGAUAACUACUGGAAACGGUAGCUAAUACCGCAUAACGUCGCAAGACCAAAGUGGGGGACCUUCGGGCCUCACACCAUCGGAUGAGCCCAGAUGGGAUUAGCUAGUAGGUGGGGUAAUGGCUCACCUAGGCGACGGUCCCUAGCUGGUCUGAGAGGAUGACCAGCCACACUGGAACUGAGACACGGUCCAGACUCCUACGGGAGGCAGCAGUGGGGAAUAUUGCACAAUGGGCGCAAGCCUGAUGCAGCCAUGCCGCGUGUAUGAAGAAGGCCUUCGGGUUGUAAAGUACUUUCAGCGGGGAGGAAGGCGGUGAAGUUAAUAGCUUCACCGAUUGACGUUACCCGCAGAAGAAGCACCGGCUAACUCCGUGCCAGCCGCCGCCGUAA